GUAAAUUUGAGCUAAUACCGGAUAAUGUCUUCGGACCAAAGAUUUAUCGCCUUUAGAUGGGCCCGCGUUGGAUUAGCUAGUUGGUGGGUAAAGGCCUACCAAGGCGACGAUCCAUAGCUGGUCUGAGAGGAUGAUCAGCCACACUGGGACUGAGACACGGCCCAGACUCCUACGGGAGGCAGCAGUGGGGAAUAUUGGACAAUGGGCGAAAGCCUGAUCCAGCAAUGCCGCGUGAGUGAUGAAGGCCUUAGGGUUGUAAAGCUCUUUUACCCGAGAUGAUAAUGACAGUAUCGGGAGAAUAAGCUCCGGCUAACUCCGUG
rnacentral:rRNA from 1 species